rnacentral:rRNA from 1 species
CAGCCGCCGCGGUAAUACGUAGGGUGCGAGCGUUAAUCGGAUUUACUGGGCGUAAAGCGUGCGCAGGCGGCCCGUUAAGACAGGUGUGAAAUCCCUGGGCUCAACCUAGGAAUUGCGCUUGUGACUGGCGGGCUCGAGUACGGUAGAGGGGGGUGGAAUUCCUGGUGUAGCAGUGAAAUGCGUAGAGAUCAGGAGGAACACCGAUGGCGAAGGCAGCCCCCUGGGCCUGUACUGACGCUCAUGCACGAAAGCGUGGGGAUCAAACAGGAUUAGAUACCCUGGUAGUCCACGCCCUAAACGAUGGGUACUAGCCGUUUGGUGCGCGAUAGCGCUGAGUGGCGAAGCUAACGCGUGAAGUACCCCGCCUGGGGAGUACGGCCGCAAGGUUGAAACUUAAAGGAAUUGGCGGG